rnacentral:rRNA from 1 species
GGGUUGUGAGGUUAAGCGACUAAGCGUACACGGUGGAUGCCCUGGCAGUCAGAGGCGAUGAAGGACGUGCUAAUCUGCGAUAAGCGUCGGUAAGGUGAUAUGAACCGUUAUAACCGGCGAUUUCCGAAUGGGGAAACCCAGUGUGUUUCGACACACUAUCAUUAACUGAAUCCAUAGGUUAAUGAGGCGAACCGGGGGAACUGAAACAUCUAAGUACCCCGAGGAAAAGAAAUCAACCGAGAUUCCCCCAGUAGCGGCGAGCGAACGGGGAGCAGCCCAGAGCCUGAAUCAGUGUGUGUGUUAGUGGAAGCGUCUGGAAAGGCGCGCGAUACAGGGUGACAGCCCCGUACACAAAAAUGCACAUGCUGUGAGCUCGAUGAGUAGGGCGGGACACGUGGUAUCCUGUCUGAAUAUGGGGGGACCAUCCUCCAAGGCUAAAUACUCCUGACUGACCGAUAGUGAACCAGUACCGUGAGGGAAAGGCGAAAAGAACCCCGGCGAGGGGAGUGAAAAAGAACCUGCAACCGUGUACGUACAAGCAGUGGGAGCACGCUUAGGCGUGUGACUGCGUACCUUUUGUAUAAUGGGUCAGCGACUUAUAUUCUGUAGCAAGGUUAACCGAAUAGGGGAGCCGAAGGGAAACCGAGUCUUAACUGGGCGUUAAGUUGCAGGGUAUAGACCCGAAACCCGGUGAUCUAGCCAUGGGCAGGUUGAAGGUUGGGUAACACUAACUGGAGGACCGAACCGACUAAUGUUGAAAAAUUAGCGGAUGACUUGUGGCUGGGGGUGAAAGGCCAAUCAAACCGGGAGAUAGCUGGUUCUCCCCGAAAGCUAUUUAGGUAGCGCCUCGUGAAUUCAUCUCCGGGGGUAGAGCACUGUUUCGGCAAGGGGGUCAUCCCGACUUACCAACCCGAUGCAAACUGCGAAUACCGGAGAAUGUUAUCACGGGAGACACACGGCGGGUGCUAACGUCCGUCGUGAAGAGGGAAACAACCCAGACCGCCAGCUAAGGUCCCAAAGUCAUGGUUAAGUGGGAAACGAUGUGGGAAGGCCCAGACAGCCAGGAUGUUGGCUUAGAAGCAGCCAUCAUUUAAAGAAAGCGUAAUAGCUCACUGGUCGAGUCGGCCUGCGCGGAAGAUGUAACGGGGCUAAACCAUGCACCGAAGCUGCGGCAGCGACGCUUAUGCGUUGUUGGGUAGGGGAGCGUUCUGUAAGCCUGCGAAGGUGUGCUGUGAGGCAUGCUGGAGGUAUCAGAAGUGCGAAUGCUGACAUAAGUAACGAUAAAGCGGGUGAAAAGCCCGCUCGCCGGAAGACCAAGGGUUCCUGUCCAACGUUAAUCGGGGCAGGGUGAGUCGACCCCUAAGGCGAGGCCGAAAGGCGUAGUCGAUGGGAAACAGGUUAAUAUUCCUGUACUUGGUGUUACUGCGAAGGGGGGACGGAGAAGGCUAUGUUGGCCGGGCGACGGUUGUCCCGGUUUAAGCGUGUAGGCUGGUUUUCCAGGCAAAUCCGGAAAAUCAAGGCUGAGGCGUGAUGACGAGGCACUACGGUGCUGAAGCAACAAAUGCCCUGCUUCCAGGAAAAGCCUCUAAGCAUCAGGUAACAUCAAAUCGUACCCCAAACCGACACAGGUGGUCAGGUAGAGAAUACCAAGGCGCUUGAGAGAACUCGGGUGAAGGAACUAGGCAAAAUGGUGCCGUAACUUCGGGAGAAGGCACGCUGAUAUGUAGGUGAAGCGACUUGCUCGUGGAGCUGAAAUCAGUCGAAGAUACCAGCUGGCUGCAACUGUUUAUUAAAAACACAGCACUGUGCAAACACGAAAGUGGACGUAUACGGUGUGACGCCUGCCCGGUGCCGGAAGGUUAAUUGAUGGGGUUAGCGCAAGCGAAGCUCUUGAUCGAAGCCCCGGUAAACGGCGGCCGUAACUAUAACGGUCCUAAGGUAGCGAAAUUCCUUGUCGGGUAAGUUCCGACCUGCACGAAUGGCGUAAUGAUGGCCAGGCUGUCUCCACCCGAGACUCAGUGAAAUUGAACUCGCUGUGAAGAUGCAGUGUACCCGCGGCAAGACGGAAAGACCCCGUGAACCUUUACUAUAGCUUGACACUGAACAUUGAGCCUUGAUGUGUAGGAUAGGUGGGAGGCUUAGAAGUGUGGACGCCAGUCUGCAUGGAGCCGACCUUGAAAUACCACCCUUUAAUGUUUGAUGUUCUAACGUUGACCCGUAAUCCGGGUUGCGGACAGUGUCUGGUGGGUAGUUUGACUGGGGCGGUCUCCUCCUAAAGAGUAACGGAGGAGCACGAAGGUUGGCUAAUCCUGGUCGGACAUCAGGAGGUUAGUGCAAUGGCAUAAGCCAGCUUGACUGCGAGCGUGACGGCGCGAGCAGGUGCGAAAGCAGGUCAUAGUGAUCCGGUGGUUCUGAAUGGAAGGGCCAUCGCUCAACGGAUAAAAGGUACUCCGGGGAUAACAGGCUGAUACCGCCCAAGAGUUCAUAUCGACGGCGGUGUUUGGCACCUCGAUGUCGGCUCAUCACAUCCUGGGGCUGAAGUAGGUCCCAAGGGUAUGGCUGUUCGCCAUUUAAAGUGGUACGCGAGCUGGGUUUAGAACGUCGUGAGACAGUUCGGUCCCUAUCUGCCGUGGGCGCUGGAGAACUGAGGGGGGCUGCUCCUAGUACGAGAGGACCGGAGUGGACGCAUCACUGGUGUUCGGGUUGUCAUGCCAAUGGCACUGCCCGGUAGCUAAAUGCGGAAGAGAUAAGUGCUGAAAGCAUCUAAGCACGAAACUUGCCCCGAGAUGAGUUCUCCCUGACCCUUUAAGGGUCCUGAAGGAACGUUGAAGACGACGACGUUGAUAGGCCGGGUGUGUAAGCGCAGCGAUGCGUUGAGCUAACCGGUACUAAUGAACCGUGAGGCUUAACCUUACAACGCCGAAGCUGUU